CUUGGUCAUUUAGAGGAAGUAAAAGUCGUAACAAGGUUUCCGUAGGUGAACCUGCGGAAGGAUCAUUAACAAAUCAUGAUGGUGGCUGGUUGUGUGGUCAUUGCUGACCACGCUUACCCCCCAUAUACACCCAAACCCGCGCAGCGAUGCCGGGUGCGGUGCGCUCCCUCCCUUCCCUGCAAAGGCGAAGGGGGACGUGGCGCGGCGAAGACUGGCGUCUGCAAGGACGCCGGUCCGACCCACAUAGACGCUUGUAUGUUUGACAGAGUUAGUUGACACUUUAAAAUGACAACUUUUAACAAUGGAUCUCUUGGCUCUUGCAACGAUGAAGAACGCAGUGAAAUGCGAAACGUAAUGCGAUUUGCACGAAUCUGUGAGUCAUCAAGUCUUUGAACGCACCUUGCACCAUAUGAGCAAUUGUAUGGUAUACCUGUUUGAGAAUCGUAAACCACACCUCACUCUCUCCAGAGUGGAGCUGUCGGCUUAUGGCUGUUCGCACAGUCAUAUCCGAUCAAAUGGAUCAGGUCUGGAUCAGGCUAGUGGCCUGGGACACUGUGUGCUAGAGACUCACGAUCUGCCGUAACUGGCCGGUCUGUCUUCUCACGGUGCGUCCCAGGUCAUACAAGCUGGCCUGCAAAGGACCUUAACUGCGCGCGGCCGCGACCGGCAAGCCUUACAGCUUGCUCAUCGCGAUGCCGCGGCAAUCCCCCCCUCUUUGAUCUCAAAUCAGGUAAGGCUACCCGCUGAACUUAAGCAUAUCAGUAAGCGGAGGAAAAGAAACUAACAAGGAUUCCCCUAGUAACGGCGAGCGAAGCGGGAAGAGCUCAAAUUUAAAAUCUGGGUGGGUCUCCCACUCCGAAUUGUAAUUUAAAGAGGCGCUAUCUGGGCCUGGCCUGGUGCUCAAGUCCCUUGGAAUAGGGCGUCACAGAGGGUGAGAACCCCGUCUGGGCACUGGUGCUGGGUCCUCCAUGAGGCGCUUUCUACGAGUCGAGUUGUUUGGGAAUGCAGCUCAAAAUGGGUGGUAAAUUUCAUCUAAGACUAAAUACUGGCAAGAGACCGAUAGCGAACAAGUACCGUGAGGGAAAGAUGAAAAGCACCUUGAAAGGGGAGUUAAAUAGUGCGUGAAAUUGUUAAGAGGGAAACGAUAGAGACUGAUGAUUGUGUGUGGACGGGCCUCGGUUUUGGUCGGGGUCCAGAGGCACGCAGAGUCGAUGCUGGCUGCUGCAGCUGGAUACGCCCCUCGGGAAGGUGGAACUGUAGCAAUACUGUUUUUUAUAGACCGCGGGUGCUGCAGUCGCGGCGACCAGAGCAGUGCGGAACGACGGUGCCGAUGCGGGGGACGCAAGGGUGGACAGCGUGCUGAGUACUCCCAGGUCCUACGCUGCGGUGUUGGCUGACUGUGCGAUAUUUGACAGAAUGGUCUUUAACGACCCGUCUUGAAACACGGACC
rnacentral:rRNA from 1 species